rnacentral:rRNA from 1 species
GAUGAACGCUCGCUACAGGCUUAACACAUGCAAGUCGAGGGGAAACGACAUCGAAAGCUUGCUUUUGAUGGGCGUCGACCGGCGCACGGGUGAGUAACGCGUAUCCAACCUGCCCACCACUUGGGGAUAGCCUUGCGAAAGUAAGACUAAUACCCAAUGAUAUCCCACGAAGACAUCUGAAUGGGAUUAAAGAUUUAUCGGUGAUGGAUGGGGAUGCGUCUGAUUAGCUUGUUGGCGGGGUAACGGCCCACCAAGGCAACGAUCAGUAGGGGUUCUGAGAGGAAGGUCCCCCACAUUGGAACUGAGACACGGUCCAAACUCCUACGGGAGGCAGCAGUGAGGAAUAUUGGUCAAUGGGCGAGAGCCUGAACCAGCCAAGUAGCGUGCAGGAAGACGGCCCUAUGGGUUGUAAACUGCUUUUAUAAGGGAAUAAAGUGGGUCACGUGUGACUUUUUGCAUGUACCUUAUGAAUAAGGACCGGCUAAUUCCGUG